rnacentral:lncRNA from 1 species
UCCCUCGCAGCCUCGAGGCAGGCCAGAAGCGGCCAACUGCACACAAGAAGCGCGAUAGCUGCAUGUUUCUUAUCAUCUGCCCUGUAUUGAAAAAUAGCGUGCAUGCCGGAUAUCCCUGGUUCCAGGGGGAAAACGGGGGAAAACGCAUCGGCUCGGUCAGCGUUUGCUCGCAAACCCGUCAUCUCGAAGUAAAAACCUAAGGAGCGUACUGAGUUCAGUCAUAAAGUUGCAAGUUCAAGACGACUUCUUCUCACCAGGCCAGUUUGGGUAGGGGAUGUGCGGACUUCUCGGAGCAGUGCGCGACCGACGCUGGCUAGUGGAUCUUUAAAUGGCUCAGGACCUUCCAAAGCAGGUACAAGAGCCCGUGGCACCUCAGCCAACUCAAGAGCAACACCGAAACGAGU